rnacentral:rRNA from 1 species
GAUGAACGCUAGCGGUAGGCUUAACACAUGCAAGUCGAGGGGCAGCACAGGUAGCAAUACUAGGUGGCGACCAGCGCACGGGUGAGUAACGCGUAUGCAACCUACCUAUAACUGGAGAAUAGCCCCCGGAAACGGGGAUUAAUGUUCCAUAAUGUUCAGAGACUGCAUAGUUUUUGGACUAAAGCUCCGGCGGUUAUAGAUGGGCAUGCGUGCCAUUAGCUUGUUGGUGAAGUAACGGCUCACCAAGGCUACGAUGGCUAGGGGGUCUUAAAGGAUGAUCCCCCACACUGGUACUGAGACACGGACCAGACUCCUACGGGAGGCAGCAGUGAGGAAUAUUGGUCAAUGGGCGCAAGCCUGAACCAGCCAAGCCGCGUGAAGGAUGACGGCCCUAUGGGUUGUAAACUUCUUUUGUAUGGGAAGAACCCCCCGACGUGUCGGGGUUUGACUGUACUGUACGAAUAAGCAUCGGCUAACUCCGUGCCAGCCGCCGCGGUAAUAC